UUACUUUUGAAAAUUUCACAAUUUCACUAACAAUAGGAAACAACAUGCAAGAGCAAGAGGAGAAACUAGAGAAAACCAAUUCGCGCGGAAGAGUGAAGCUUCAAUUUGUUUAGUUUUCUUCUUCCACUGAAUCCCAUAGCGAGAGGGAAGCACACGUCAGCUUCUCGCAAGCUUGGUAGGAAGAACAAACCACCGCACGCAUCCACUUCCGCGCCAAAAUCACCACAAUCUCAAUCGCCUCCUCCACUUCUCGCGCCUCUUCUGCAGAAUUCAUAAAUCCAUAUGGAAUCCGUUCCUCGUCCCAGACUCAGAAUGAUUCUGAUUCUUCGUCUGAAAGAUUGUCAUGACAGCAGAAAUGGAAAAUCAACAUGGCAAUUUGGAGCUUAGUUACAACAAUGAGGAAUUUCGAUUAGAGGGAAAUAGUAAUGAUGGUUACAUGGACAAGGCAUGCCUUUAUAAUCAUUCCUCUGUGGGGGAUGGAACUGUGACUUUUUCAGAAGGCAAUUGUCAUGUUGAUAGCAAUGACCUGUUUGAAGGGGAAUUAGAGGGCAAGGCUGAAAAUCACACUGUUUCCUGUAGUUGUGAAGUUCAUUUUGCAAAAGCAGUCCAGGUUCAGGUUUAUCAUUUUCCUAGUGAAAUCUAAUUAAAUUUGAGUAUGUUUAUCAUUUAGACUAGAGCGUUGAUACUAGGCUUUUAAGAAGACUGUUGACUUUUUUUAUUGUUGAUUAUUUAUAUUUAAAUUUGAGUAUGUUUAUCAUUUAAAUAAUGGAGUGGUUUUAAUUAGUAGUCAUUGAGGCCUCUGUGGUUUUAAUCUUUUCUACUAAAAAAAAAUACUAAUCAUAAAAGCAUAAAAGGUUCAAGAGUACUGAAAAUUUAAUCUUCUCUCAAAAGGUAUAUUAACUGCCUCUCUUUCAAGUGGAACAGCUAUUUGGUCACGAGUGUACAAUUAACUAGCUAAGCUAGGUCUAGGUGACACUUGAAAUUGACAUGGCAAAUGUUAGGUUAGUUUCUAUGAUGAUAAAACUAGACUAUUACAGAUUUUGUCUUCUACCUUAUCGUGAUAUGAAGCUUUGGCAUAAAUCACGAAAUGAUUAAAUUCUAAUAUCUUCUUUAAUUAAAUUUUUAAAGUUAAAUCUUUAACCUCUUGCAGAAAUUUAGAUAAGUAAUAUGAGC